AACGCGAAGAACCUUACCUGGGCUUGACAUGGUACGAAAUCCUACGAAAGUAGGCUUCCUCGCAAGAGGACGUACACACAGGUGCUGCAUGGCUGUCGUCAGCUCGUGCCGUGAGGUGUUGGGUUAAGUCCCGCAACGAGCGCAACCCUCGUCGUGUGUUGGUCCGCAAGGAUCUCUCACGCGAGACCGCCGAUGAGAAGUCGGAGGAAGGUGGGGAUGACGUCAAGUCAGCAUGGCCCUUACGUCCAGGGCUACACACGUGCUACAAUGGGUAGGACAACGGGUCGCAAGCUAGUGAUAGUAAGCCAAUCCCUUAAACCUGCCCUCAGUUCGGAUUGAAGGCUGCAACUCGCCUUCAUGAAGUCGGAAUCGCUAGUAAACGCAGAUCAGCUACGCUGCGUUGAAUACGUUCCCGGGCCUUGUACACACCGCUACAGU
rnacentral:rRNA from 1 species